rnacentral:rRNA from 1 species
GAUUGAACGCUGGCGGCGUGCCUAACACAUGCAAGUCGAGCGGUAACAGGUGUAGCAAUACAUGCUGACGAGCGGCGAACGGGUGAGUAAUGCUUCGGAAUCUACCCAAUGGUGGGGAAUAACCAGCCGAAAGGUUGGCUAAUACCGCAUACGUCCCACGGGAGAAAGCAGGGGAUCGCAAGACCUUGCGCCAAUGGAUGAGCCGAAGUCGGAUUAGCUAGUUGGAGGUAACGGCCUACCAAGGCGACGAUCCGUAGCUGGUCUGAGAGGACGACCAGCCACACUGGGACUGAGACACGGCCCAGACUCCGUACGGGAGGCAGCAGUGGGGAAUAUUGGACAAUGGGGGAAACCCUGAUCCAGCGACGCCGCGUGUGUGAAGAAGGCCUGCGGGUUG